CUCGUGAUCCGCCCGCCUCGGCCUCCCAAAGUGCUGGGAUUACAGGCGUGAGCCACCGCCGUGCCCAACAAAUUAAAUAAUCUUAAGAACAUAAAGUUGUCCUUUAAUUUUUAAUUUUUCCCUAGUAAAUAGAAAUGCCUAAAAGUAUAUAGCUAAUAAUAAGCUGAAGGUGGAAAAUUAAAAAUUAAAAAUCUUUUUCUCCACAUUGUAUUUAACAAUAGGAGGAAGAGAAUUUUGUACUUAGUUUUCUUUCACAAGGAAGUUACCAUCACAUUUUUAUUCUAUAUCAUUUGAAUUUUCACAAGCUAAACAGAGAAAAGGGAGUAUUAACUUCAUGCAUUUUGUAAUUACACAUAGGAUCUACAGCUUAUGCUAUAUACCAAAGGUACAUAAUCCAAAGAACAGUAAGAAGAAAAGUAAAAUAUCUAAAAAUUUCAAAUAUUUAAGGAAGUAGGCAUACAUAUUGAAAAUCUGAAAAGGUUUUACAGAUUUUAGCCCAAUACAUAAUUACUCAUUAUGUGAAGGUUUAUUAAGCCUCUAGGUAACACAUACGGAUACGCUCUAUUCUAGAUAAAUUUGAUACACUUGAUACUACAAAGGUCAACCAAAGACAUGUAUCAUUCUUCAAAGAAAAUCCUGUAAUAGCAGCCUGAAAGUCAUAGCUAAACUUACAGCAAAAGUAUCUAAUUCACAUUUAGGAAAAUAUGACAAUUAUCUCCCUUUUUUACUUGCUCACUCUCUUCAAAGCAUAACAGGUUGCUUUCCAAAUGAGGAAGAUACAUUUUGUGAAACUAAUGAAAGACUUUACAUUUAACCUUUUUAAAGUAGUAAAUAAUUUUUUCAAAAAAAAAUCACUUGUUUCUCCUUCCCGUUAACUGUCUGCUUCUUUGCUAUUCCAGAAUCCCUAUAAGUUUACUAAAGACAAUGACAAUUUCUCCAUGUUGGUCAGGCUGGUCUCAAACUCUCGACCUCAGGUGAUCUGCCUGCCUCGGCCUCCCAAAGUGCUGAGAUUAGAGAGCUGUAAGAGAGGUCUGUGCCUAAAUCACACGUUUACUACGAGGAAUUAACUGAAAGCACCUACAUGAAGACACCUGGAAACUAUAAAGAACUUCCUGGAAACUAUAAAGAACUGUAUAAUUAUAAGUUCACAAUCUACUGAAGAGCACAGUAAGCAUGACCUUUAAAAAGCUAUACGGUAAAUGUCAUGAGGGGAGAAGUACUGCACACAUGGGAGCCCAGAGCACGAGCAACUAGUCCAGACUUGGUAGAAGUGAGAGCACAGAAGGUAACUUGGGGGAUGCUUCCUAGAGGAAGUACACUCUUUAAAGAGGACAGAAAAAGUGACUAUGUGAUGCUCAUGCAUGUGUGUGUGUUUUUAGUGAGGUGUCAGCUCCUAAGGGAGUUUAAUAUGACUGGAGGUUAGGGUACGAAAAUGACAAGAGUGAGAGGUAAAUAUGGAGAGAGACGUAAAGAGACCACAGUAAACCUUAUGAGUAUUUAAAUUUAGCCUUUAUUAUUACAGAGAUAAGGGAGAGUAUUUCAAGUUCUUGGUACUUGAGAUAACACCUCAACAGACCUCAUCAUUUCAGCAUUGUGUUAACCCAUAAAGCUGGCACAAUAUGAAACAUUAUUCAAGAAGAUGAGGAAAAGACAGUAACAUGGUACUUCAGUUCAGAGAAAGAGCCCACUUGUGACCCCUUCCUGGUAAAACAGGAAGUCCUGAUACAUAAUGUUAAUUCAAACCAUGGAUAGCAUUGGGCAUACUUGAAGACAAACAGUUGCAGAAGUCCAUUUUGCCUGCUCAUAGUUAAGUUACUGGUAAAGCAAACUCACAUUAAUGCAUACUCUGUAUGAGGAAAAACUGAGCUGCUAUAUCAGAGUAUGUUGGCAUUCCACUUCAUGCUAUUUCCAGAUUCUAAAAAGCUUUAGGCCCAUGAGCCAACUCACCCUGCCUUCCAAACAUGCUCACUUACGUAAUUGUAAAAAGAAUGCCCAUCCUACAGUCUCUGUCACCUAUUAUGCUCACUAGCCCUUAUAAAAGGAAAGCUCAAGUGUGAGUCAGAAAACAAUCAGGACACCAAGGCAAAACCACCUUAGGGCACUUUAGGUUCACAUGACAAUGUUUUAUAAGAAUCUGAUCUUCCAGAAGGCAAGAACAUCAUAAUUAUAAUGUCAUUUUUUCACCUCAUUCCAUGUUUUGAUCUAAGUUCAAAUUAGUAUAAAGGAGUAUUUCACUAACCUUUAAAAAAGAUUUAGCAUAUGAAAGGUUGAGAAAAUGUUUAGAACUUAUUAACUCAGCAAACUGAUUGCAAGCAAACAAUACUUUUAAAUUUGUUCCCACAGGUGUCAAAGGGGAUUUCUGAGUAAGCACAUGGCAUUGUUUGAUGUGUUAGGAUUUAAUACAUCUUGUGAGCCUCUACAUUUAGAAUGUCACCAGCCAGAUUCUAGAGACACUGCACAUCUCACCUUUCACUAGUUUCAACUACAAUUUGAUUCCAGUUGUCUCCACCUCACCCGUCCAACCUUCUGCUCAUUCUGAGAGCUGGCACUAUAAGUCACCUGUGCCCUCUCCUCAUAUAAACAGCAUAAACAACCUCUCAGUUUGGCAGUAGAAGAUAUGCUAAUUGACAUUUUGAAAAUGGUCAUUUAUAUGAAAGAUAUACAUUUUUUGUUAACAAUUUGGUUUAUUGUAACUUUUAGCCACAAUAUUUCUCCCCAGGUCAAAAAGAACACUGGAACAUGAAAAGAACAGUAAUUAAUUCUUUUCUAUAAGUAGUAUGAAGUGGCUGCUCAUCCUAUGUCGCCACUUGAAGAAAGCGAACUACAGGCUGCUCAUUAAAAUAUCAUAAAUAUCCUUAAAAUGCUUUAAAAAUUUGCAAAAGAGUCUUAUAUAAUCUGGGCAAUGAUUUAAAAGAAGAAAAUGAACAAGAUUACCACUUUUAACAUCAUUAAAAUCUCAAAACAGUAAUUUUUGUCAAAAAUGUAUUUAUCUCCCUAUUAUUUUUACUUGCUCAUUCUUUUCAAAGCAUAACAGGUUGCUUUCCAAAUGAGGAAGAUACAUUUUGUGAAACUAAUGAAAGACUUUACAUUUAACCUUUUUAAAGUAGUAAAUAAUUUUUUAAAAAAAAAACUUGUUUCUCCUUCCCCUUAACUGUCUGCUUCUUUGCUAUUCCGGAAUCCCUAUAAGUUUACUAAAGAGUAUUUUUUAGUUCCCUUAAAUGUUUUAGUUGCUUAAUUUUUCCCUCAUAAUCUUACGAGAAAUGCGUAUUCGUAAUUAAAACACCUUCAACAACAAAAAGUUUCUGAAUUUAGAAACAAAAAAGUAGCAGGAAAAAUACACUGCUAUUCAAAGUAAACACCUGCAAUAAAUUAUGUAUUUAUAGAAUUAAAAUUUUAAGAUUGAUCUAAAGCAGUUGUUCUUCACCCUCAACCUGGACAAGUUCAGCCUACCUACAGGCCCUCAUUAUGCGGGCCCUAUAUCUGUCUGCCAACAGGACUGUCUACCAUUGUAGCAAUGAAUGAGUAGAAUGAAAGCACUCAGGACUCAGGCAAACAUUAACAAAAUGUUCAUUCUAGUUGCUCUCCAAGAUUUUGGUAUUAUGUGUAUACUAUAUGAAUGUUACUGAUGAAGGCAUAUGUAUCUUUGGAAUUUUCAAUGUUUUUCCCUCAUGUUCAAUAUGUUGUAAUGCAGUACUCUUAGUCCAAAUGCAUUUCUCUAUCUACUCUCUUUGCUAUGUUGGGGCCCAACGCAACAAAAUACAGGAAAGCAUUAUGUAUACUGAUUAAUAAGAUUUAGCUGAGGUCUUCAAGGAGCU
rnacentral:lncRNA from 1 species